UGGUGGAGCGAUUUGUCUGGUUAAUUCCGAUAACGAACGAGACUCUAGCCUACUAAAUAGACUACCAGUCCUUUGUACUGGUAGGACUUCUUAGAGGGACAGGCGGCGACUCAGCCGCACGAAACAGAGCAAUAACA
rnacentral:rRNA from 1 species